GACCUGAUGGUGUAGUGGCGAACACAUCUCGUGUGAACGAGAAGGCUCCUGUUCGAUUCAGGAUCGGGUCG